GUCAGGCACCUCAUCGAUGCGUAGAUCCUUCCAGCGCUGACGUUCGCCCUCGAAGGCUGCCUGUUGCCGCAGCUUGAACGUCGCAAUGCUAUCGCGGUCACGGACCAGAGCCUUGGCAUAAUCAGCAUAGGAANGGCAUAGUCAGCAUAGGAAAAUUCGCUCUCCUCGAUCUUUAGCGGAUAGGCGCCGUGCGGAAAUGCCGCGCGGGCCUCCAGCAAUUCCUCCGCACUAACGGGAAAAAAGCGAAUCUCNCGUCGAAGAACCGCAGCAGCCAUGGAUGCCCCGGCUUGAACACAGGCGUGGUUCGCCAUGU
rnacentral:misc_RNA from 1 species